rnacentral:rRNA from 1 species
UUGAAGAGUUUGAUCAUGGCUCAGAUUGAACGCUGGCGGCAGGCCUAACACAUGCAAGUCGAGCGGUAGCACAGAGAGCUUGCUCUCGGGUGACGAGCGGCGGACGGGUGAGUAAUGUCUGGGAAACUGCCUGAUGGAGGGGGAUAACUACUGGAAACGGUAGCUAAUACCGCAUAAYGUCGCAAGACCAAAGUGGGGGACCUUCGGGCCUCAUGCCAUCAGAUGUGCCCAGAUGGGAUUAGCURGUAGGUGGGGUAACGGCUCACCUAGGCGACGAUCCCUAGCUGGUCUGAGAGGAUGACCAGCCACACUGGAACUGAGACACGGUCCAGACUCCUACGGGAGGCAGCAGUGGGGAAUAUUGCACAAUGGGCGCAAGCCUGAUGCAGCCAUGCCGCGUGUGUGAAGAAGGCCUUCGGGUUGUAAAGCACUUUCAGCGGGGAGGAAGGCGGUGAGGUUAAUAACCUCAYCGAUUGACGUUACCCGCAGAAGAAGCACCGGCUAACUCCGUGCCAGCAGCCGCGGUAAUACGGAGGGUGCAAGCGUUAAUCGGAAUUACUGGGCGUAAAGCGCACGCAGGCGGUCUGUCAAGUCGGAUGUGAAAUCCCCGGGCUCAACCUGGGAACUGCAUUCGAAACUGGCAGGCUAGAGUCUUGUAGAGGGGGGUAGAAUUCCAGGUGUAGCGGUGAAAUGCGUAGAGAUCUGGAGGAAUACCGGUGGCGAAGGCGGCCCCCUGGACAAAGACUGACGCUCAGGUGCGAAAGCGUGGGGAGCAAACAGGAUUAGAUACCCUGGUAGUCCACGCUGUAAACGAUGUCGAUUUGGAGGUUGUGCCCUUGAGGCGUGGCUUCCGGAGCUAACGCGUUAAAUCGACCGCCUGGGGAGUACGGCCGCAAGGUUAAAACUCAAAUGAAUUGACGGGGGCCCGCACAAGCGGUGGAGCAUGUGGUUUAAUUCGAUGCAACGCGAAGAACCUUACCUGGUCUUGACAUCCACAGAACUUUCCAGAGAUGGAUUGGUGCCUUCGGGAACUGUGAGACAGGUGCUGCAUGGCUGUCGUCAGCUCGUGUUGUGAAAUGUUGGGUUAAGUCCCGCAACGAGCGCAACCCUUAUCCUUUGUUGCCAGCGGUYMGGCCGGGAACUCAAAGGAGACUGCCAGUGAUAAACUGGAGGAAGGUGGGGAUGACGUCAAGUCAUCAUGGCCCUUACGACCAGGGCUACACACGUGCUACAAUGGCAUAUACAAAGAGAAGCGACCUCGCGAGAGCAAGCGGACCUCAUAAAGUAUGUCGUAGUCCGGAUUGGAGUCUGCAACUCGACUCCAUGAAGUCGGAAUCGCUAGUAAUCGUAGAUCAGAAUGCUACGGUGAAUACGUUCCCGGGCCUUGUACACACCGCCCGUCACACCAUGGGAGUGGGUUGCAAAAGAAGUAGGUAGCUUAACCUUCGGGAGGGCGCUUACCACUUUGUGAUUCAUGACUGGGGUGAAGUCGUAACAAGGUAACCGUAGGGGAACCUGCGGUUGGAUCACCUCCUU